rnacentral:rRNA from 1 species
GACGAACGCUGGCGGCGUGCCUAAUACAUGCAAGUAGAACGCAGUUGCGAACGGGUGAGUAACGCGUAGGUAACUGCCUGGUAGCGGGGGAUAACUCUUUGAAACGAUAGCUAAUACCGCAUACUACCAAAUGGACCUGCGUUGUAUUAGCUAGUUGGUGAGGUAAAGGCUCCACAAGGCAACGAGACAUUGCCGACCUGAGAGGGGGAUCGGCCACACCGGGACCGAGAACAGGCCCAGAACCCUACGGGAGGCAGCAGUAGGGAAUCUUCGGCAAUGGGGGGAAGCCUGACCGAGCAAAGCCGCGGGAGUGAAGAAGGGUUUCGGAGCGGAAAGCUCUGUUGUUAAGGAAGCGGUACUUAACCAGAAAGGGACGGCUAACUACGUGCCAGCAGCCGCGGUAAUUC